CAAUAGCGUAUAUUAAAGUUGUUGCGGUUAAAAAGCUCGUAGUUGGAUUUCUGCUGAGGACGACCGGUCCGCCCUCCGGGUGAGCAUCUGGUUCGGCCUUGGCAUCUUCUUGGUGAACGUAUCUGCACUUGACUGUGUGGUGCGGUACCCAGGACUUUUACUUGAGGAAAUUAGAGUGUUCACGGCAGGCAUUCGCCUUGAAUAUAUUAGCAUGGAAUAAUACUAUAGGAUCUUGGUUCUAUUUUGUUGGUUUCUAGGGCUAAGAUAAUAAUCAAUAGGGACAAUUGGGGGCAUUCGUAUUACGGCGUCAGAGGUGAAAUUCUUGGAUUGCCGUACGACGAACUACUGCGAAAGCAUUUGCCAAGGAUGUUUUCAUUGAUCAAGAACGAAAGUAAGGGGAUCGAAGAUGAUUAGAU
rnacentral:rRNA from 1 species